UCUGUCUUUCUUUGGAGCUCAGUGUCAGCCCCUCAAACACGAGUUGGGGAGAGCCCCGUAAUUCUGAGUACCUUGUGGCCUGGAGGAAGGCUGGCCUAGAACGUGUCUAGGGCGCGCGGCACAGGCAAAAACUUAGGCCCAGAUUUUGCGUGUGUGACACUCAGCUACUGCAUCUCAACAGUUUCUCUGGCUGGGACCGGAUCCUCACGACCAUCCAUCAAUUUUGCAGUAGAUUGAACACAGAGCAUUUGCACAGAAAAUGGCAACUCAGACUGGUGUCUUGAUUCGAGAUCAGAAUUUGAAGUUUCACUUUGAUGGGAAAGAAGCCAAUGUCUACAAGGUGCAGAAGAAACAAGGCAUUGGUGGAAGAGAAGCUCUUGGUGAUUUGACAAACUCAAGGAAGCCUUCUCCAAUUAAGGCAUCAACGAGGCAUUACUCAAAAGAUUUUCACUUCUUUUGGGGAAGAGGUUGAUGCUUUUAGGUCCAAAUAGAUUCGUGGCAGGAACAGUAUCUCCAGCCUCUUUCAGGGCGUGAUUUAUGUUUAAAAAUAAAUAAAAUUUCAGGGCGUUUUAGUUGACUGAUUUGUCAGUUUGAAUUAGGAGGAAUCCUUAGGAUCAAACCUUUGACCUGGGGUCAUGGGUCAGAUUCUGGGUAGCCCAGAAUUUGGGUCGUGACAACUUCUAUAAUGGAGGAACAUUUUCUUCCCAAUUCCAUUGCUGAGGAACAGUUUCUCCACAAUCAUGAGGAGCAUCAUAGCAUGGAGUAUGAACAUGAGCAAGGAUUAUUUUCUCAAGACUAUUGGACUACACAAUGAUUUUCCCAUGCCAUUACCAUCUUGUUAUGUGCCUCCAGCAUCAUCAAGAAAGCCAAAGGUUCAGCCCAGAAGUCCAAGAAAGCUUGAAUUGGAAGAAAUAGCUGAGCUGAUGAUUGAAGACCAAUCUCCUCUAUGUUUGAAAAUAGAGGUGCCCAGUGAAUAUAAAUCAUCUUCUUGUUCUCCCAAGAGUCCUAAGUCAUCAAAUCCGAAUGCGGGUCCCAACUACUUUGUUGGUUUGUUGCAGAUCGAGCCCAAUUUUACAAUGAUUGAGACACCGGUUUUGCCAAAACAUUGAUUAGUUUAUCAUGAUGUGAUAGACACUAUUUCUACUCUUCUCCUGUAUUGCCAAAACAUUUUUGUUUUGGGGCAAAAUAGCCCUAUUAUGGGGGGGAAAAAAGUUAAUGUUAAGCCACUUUCUACUCUCUGUUUUCAGGUUUUUUCGCUGCCUUCUUUAUCAAUUCUCUAAUUUCAAUUUUCAUUUUCGUUGAUUUUUCUUGGUCCAUUUGGUUGGCAAGAAAACGCUGCAAAAGUUGGAAACAGAUUGGUUUUGAAUUUGAAAAGGCUAGGGAUUUUUUUUUAUUGGUUGGUUUUAUUUUCAUCUGCUUCCUCGCCAACUGAGAGAGGAUUAGGGUUUUGAGAUUGAAAUACCUCCUACGGGUUGAGCCUUCCCUGUUUCUUGUUUCUUUUUGGAUUUGUCUGUUUGAUCAUACUGGAUUUAGGGUUUUUUUUCUUCAGAUGUGUAUGGAGUAUAGAUAGAGUUAAGUGGUAAGAAUGGUGUCUGAGGCAUUUAUAAUUAUAGAAAAGCCUUUUUUCUUUCUUUUAUUUUUUGAAAUACUAAAUUUUAAUUCCUUGUUGUGCUGUUUUCAGUCAAAGGCUUUGGUUUUUCAAACACUGUAAGGUGAAAUGCUAUGAACAUGCGAUCAGAAUAACGUAUGAUUGGGUUUCUAAUUUAAA